ACAAGGAGGUCCCAGUGCCGAUGCACGGGGAGGCGGAUGCACAGGGAGGUCCCGGUGCCGGUGCACGACGAGGUGGGUGCACGACGAGGCUGAUGCACGAGGAGGCCCCGGUCCUGGUGCACGAGAGCGGCCGGUGCAAGGCGAGCUGGUGCACGGGGAGGCUGAUGCACAAGGAAGUCCCAGUGCCAAUGCACGAGGCAGCUGAUGCACGAGGAGGCAGGUGCACGAGGAGGCUGGUGCACGGGGACCAUCCUGCUUCCGGUGCACGUGGCUGCUGCUGCACGGAGAGUCCAGUGCACGGGGAAUCCUGUGCACGAGGAGGCCAGUGCACGGGGAGGUGAUGCCUCCUGGUGCACGGGGACACCGGUGCAUGGGGAGAUGUUGCACGGGCAAUCCGGUGCACGGAGAGUCCGGUGCACGGGGAGAUGAUGCACGGGGACCAUUUGCUCCCGGUGCACGGGGAAUCCGGUGCACAGAGUCCGGUGCACGGGGAGAUGUUGCACAGGGACCGUCUGGCUCUCGUUGCACAGGGAAUCCGGUGCACGGAGAGUCCGGUGCACGGGGAGAUGAUGCACGGGGAAUCUGGUGCAUGGAGAGUCUGGUGCACGGGGAGGUGAUGCACAGGGACCGUCCAGCUCCUGGUGCACAGGGACGCUGGUCCAUGGGGAGGCCGGUGCACGGGGAGCUGUUGCACGGGGACCAUCUGGCUCCUGGUGCACGGAGAGUCCGGUGCACGGAGAGACGAUGCACAGGGGCCCAUCCACCUCCUGGUGCACGGGGACGCUGGUGCACGGGGAGAUGUUGCACGGGGAAUCUGGUGCACGGAGAGUCCGGUGCACGGGGAGGUGCUGCACGGGGACUGUCCGACUCCCGUUGCACGAGGACGCCGGUGCACGGGGAGACGUUGCACGGGGGAAUCUGGUGCACAGAGAGUCCGGCGCCCGGGGAGCCGCUGCACCGG
rnacentral:lncRNA from 1 species